rnacentral:misc_RNA from 1 species
UUUCGUAGGUGAACCUGCGGAAGGAUCAUUAUUGUAUAACCGAGGUGCGAGGGCUGUCGCUGACCCGAAAGGUCGUGCACGCCCGAGUGCCCUCACACACAUCCAUCUCACCCCUAUGUGCACCACCGCGUGGGUCCCCCUUUGGCUUGUUCGGAGGGGGGCUUACGUUUUCACACAAACUUUGUAUGCAGUGUAGAAUGUAUUUUUUGUUUUUGCGAUCACGCAAUCAAUACAACUUUCAACAACGGAUCUCUUGGCUCUC